GACAGAGGCCUCAAGCGUUAGGCGGAAUCACUGGGCUUAAAGCGUGUGUAGGCGGGUGCCUAAGUACCUUGUGAAAUCCCACGGCUCAACCGUGGAACUGCUGGGUAUACUGGGUGCCUUGGGUCAUCUAGGGGCUGCCGGAACAAAUGGUGGAGCGGUGAAAUGCGUAGAUAUCAUUUGGAACGCCAACGGCGAAAGCAGGCAGCUGGGGAUGCACCGACGCUGAGGAGCGAAAGCCAGGGGAGCAAACGGG
rnacentral:rRNA from 1 species